rnacentral:rRNA from 1 species
UACGUAGGGUGCAAGCGUUGUCCGGAAUUAUUGGGCGUAAAGAGCUCGUAGGCGGUCUGUCGCGUCUGCUGUGAAAACUCAGGGCUUAACCCUGAGCUUGCAGUGGGUACGGGCAGACUAGAGUGCGGUAGGGGGAGACUGGAAUUCCUGGUGUAGCGGUGAAAUGCGCAGAUAUCAGGAGGAACACCGGUGGCGAAGGCGGGUCUCUGGGCCGUAAC